GGGUUUGGAUGCCCUGCUGGCUUGCUCUUUGCAACGGUAAUUGCUACUGGCCUCAGAAUUCUCUGAACACACCUACUUUGUACUUCUCGAUUUCCUUCCUCCUCCACUGCCGCAUAAGAAGACUCCAAUCUUUCAUUUAUUGACUCAUUUACCACUUAUUUACUGAGCACCUACUAUGUGCCCUUAAGCACAGGGGAGUGCAGCAGUAAAGAAAAAAAAAAAAGAGGAAAAUUUCUGCUCUCUUGAAAUUUAUAUUCUAGUAAGAGAAACAACAAUAAACAGAAUCCUCAAAAUGCAUAAAAAGGCAGAUAGCAAAAGUGCUUUGGAAAAAUAAAAAGCAAGAAAAGCAAGAAAGAGGAAUAUGAAGCGUGGGUGUGGAAUGCUUUACAGCAUGGCCGGGUGACUCUGGAGACCCGAAGAAGGCGAGGGGAUGAGCCAUGCUUGGAGGUGUCAGUAGAGGAACAGUUAUGCACAGGCCACAAAGCCAAAGCAUGUUGGCGGGGCCUGUUCCAGGAACAGCAAAGAGGCUGGGGAAGAGGGGAGAGAAUGGGACCGUGAGAGGGCGUUGAACUGCAGUGCGGAGGAGAGCUGAAGUGCGGGGCAGAAGUAGGGAGACCUGAUAAUUGACUCUUGGAGUCAAGCAGACCCAGACGUGAUUCCCAGGAGGAAACCUACAGUCAGAAAGACCUCUCUGGUGGAAGGUGGAUAGGAGAGGUGGUGAGAAGUUCAGGGGCUCUAGUCCACAAUGAGACGACAAGGGCCUGAGCCAGGAGCGCUGCUACAUGAAUGGAAAACUGGUGAAGUCAGAGGACUCAAAAAGAUGAAAGGUCACACCUCUGUCAAGAGACACUCUCCUUUUCUGGUCAAGUCUCUUUUCUUCUGUUAGGGCUGCAACCUCUUCACCUGGGAAAUGAAUGGUCCUGUGAUUUACAAGCACAGGGCAUUUCCAUCAUCAUGGAAAGUUCUAUGGGACUGCUGUGGUUUGAACACAAGAGCAGGAGUUUAUACUUACUCUGAGGCACUGUAUCUUGAGAGUUCUAGCUCAGCUUCCAAGGCUGCUGAGAGCUUUAAGAAACUGGUUCUGAGGCUGGGUGCGGUGGUUCAUGCCUGUAAUCCCAUCACUGAGGGAGGCUGAGGCAGGCGGAUCACCUGAG